rnacentral:rRNA from 1 species
AUUGAACGCUGGCGGCAUGCCUAACACAUGCAAGUCGAACGGUAACAGGUCUUCGGAUGCUGACGAGUGGCGAACGGGUGAGUAAUACAUCGGAACGUGCCUAGUAGUGGGGGAUAACUACUCGAAAGAGUGGCUAAUACCGCAUGAGAUCUACGGAUGAAAGCAGGGGAUCGCAAGACCUUGUGCUACUAGAGCGGCCGAUGGCAGAUUAGGUAGUUGGUGGGAUAAAAGCUUACCAAGCCGACGAUCUGUAGCUGGUCUGAGAGGACGAUCAGCCACACUGGGACUGAGACACGGCCCAGACUCCUACGGGAGGCAGCAGUGGGGAAUUUUGGACAAUGGGCGAAAGCCUGAUCCAGCAAUGCCGCUUGCAGGAUGAAGGCCUUCGGGUUGUAAACUGCUUUUGUACGGAACGAAAAGCCCCGGGUUAAUACCCUGGGGUCAUGACGGUACCGUAAGAAUAAGCACCGGCUAACUACGUGCCAGCCGCCGCGGUAA